rnacentral:rRNA from 1 species
UUUAAUGAGAGUUUGAUCCUGGCUCAGGACGAACGCUGGCGGCGUGCCUAAUACAUGCAAGUAGAACGCUGAAGAGAAGAGCUUGCUCUUCUUGGAUGAGUUGCGAACGGGUGAGUAACGCGUAGGUAACCUGCCUGGUAGCGGGGGAUAACUAUUGGAAACGAUAGCUAAUACCGCAUAAAAUUGAUUAUUGCAUGAUAAUUAAUUGAAAGAUGCAAUUGCAUCACUACCAGAUGGACCUGCGUUGUAUUAGCUAGUUGGUGAGGUAACGGCUCACCAAGGCGACGAUACAUAGCCGACCUGAGAGGGUGAUCGGCCACACUGGGACUGAGACACGGCCCAGACUCCUACGGGAGGCAGCAGUAGGGAAUCUUCGGCAAUGGGGGGAACCCUGACCGAGCAACGCCGCGUGAGUGAAGAAGGUUUUCGGAUCGUAAAGCUCUGUUGUAAGAGAAGAACGGGUGUGAGAGUGGAAAGUUCACACUGUGAC